GGAUGUGGAGACCAUCUGGCUGCAGCAUCUGUCACCCCAUUGAUUGCCAGGGUUGAUUCGGCUGAUCUGGCUGGUUAGGCAGGUGUCCUCUUCCUCCCUUACCGCUCCAUGUGCCACCCUCCUAAAGCUCAGUGGAAGAGGACGGCCUUCCCUGAAUAGAGACAUCGAUCUUCAGUCAAGGAUAUAUGAGUAGCUGCGCUCCCCUGCUAGAAUCUACAAACAAGCUUUCAAGAAAUGUGUGUUGACCUCAAGGUCAUGAAAAUACUCUUCUGUUUUGUUCUAUAAUCUUUAUGGUUUUAGAUAUUA
ensembl:misc_RNA 7SK 7SK RNA